rnacentral:rRNA from 1 species
AUUGAACGCUAGCGGGAUGCUUUACACAUGCAAGUCGAACGGCAGCGCGGACUUCGGUCUGGCGGCGAGUGGCGAACGGGUGAGUAAUGUAUCGGAACGUGCCCAGUAGCGCGGGAUAACUACGCGAAAGCGUAGCUAAUACCGCAUACCCCCUACGGGGGAAAGCAGGGGAUCGUAAGACCUUGCACUAUUGGAGCGGCCGAUAUCGGAUUAGCUAGUUGGUGAGGUAACGGCUCACCAAGGCGACGAUCCGUAGCUGGUUUGAGAGGACGACCAGCCACACUGGGACUGAGACACGGCCCAGACUCCUACGGGAGGCAGCAGUGGGGAAUUUUGGACAAUGGGGGCAACCCUGAUCCAGCCAUCCCGCGUGUGCGAUGAAGGCCUUCGGGUUGUAAAGCACUUUUGGCAGGAAAGAAACGUCGCGGGCUAAUACCCCGUGGAACUGACGGUACCUGCAGAAUAAGCACCGGCUAACUACGUG